rnacentral:rRNA from 1 species
UACGCGGCAGUCAGACGGCGGGGGAUAAGCUUCGUCGUCGAGAGGGAAACAGCCCAGAUCAUCAGCUAAGGCCCCUAAGUGGUGACUCAGUGGGAAAGGAUGUGGAGUUGCGUAGACAACUAGGACGUUGGCUCAGAAGCAGCCAUCAUUCAAAGAGUGCGUAAUAGCUCACUAGUCGAGUGAUUCUGCACCGAAAAUGUA